GGAGGAGAGGGCCGGGUUGAGGGUCGUGGGGUCCUAGCGCCAAACUGACGAGGGGGCGGAAAAGGUGGGCGGGACUAAGUCGCCCUACCCUGUGACGUGCAGUGUAGUUGGGGAAACGCACCGUGGUUCCCCGUCGGGUCAGGAGAUCCCAAGCCCCAGGCUGGCGUGGGCGAAGCGUACAGUCCCUUCACCUUUCGCCACCCAGAAGCACAAGAGUCCAGUUCGCGCCAACUGACCUGUUUCUUCCUUCCUCUCCGGCACUCCGGGAGUCCUGAGAUUGCCUUGCUCGGUUCGUAGGUCUGAGCUUCUCCACCAAGGGUGCUCAGAUUCUCCAGGAAACUCCCUUCAGGGUUAGCAACCGCGGAGUAGGUUUCGGUCCCAAGAUAGAAAGCUCUUCCAUCCACCUUGUGUGGCCUUGUAUUCGCGGCUGCAUCCACCUCCUCCACAGUGGCAUAUGUGACAAACCCAAAGCCCCUGGAGCACUUGGUGCUUGGAUCUCUCAUGACCACACAGUCCGUGAGUGUUCCCCAUUGGUCAAAAUGGCUCCUCAGGCUCUCAUCGGUUGUUUCAAAGUUCAGCCUCCAAUGAAGAGCUUCCUCAGCUGUUCCAGUUCUUUAGGAAACUCCGCCUUAGACAUGACAGCAGGGGGAAGAGAGACUUUAAUGAUGCUCCCUCUGUUGUGUUCAUGGGCCUAAAUAGGUAUUUUCUACUUUGUACUUUUUUUUCUUAAAGAAGUAAAAUGGUGACCAG
rnacentral:lncRNA from 1 species